CUGAUAAAAGUCAACAAGAUUCCAACGCAGCAGUACGUUAAGUUCAUGGCUUUCUUCGCUUGGGCAUAGCGUGAUGCUGAUAUCCAGGUCCAAGGGCAGAUCCUGCCCUCAUUUCCACUGCCACAGAACAUCUGGUUUCCACAUCAGUCCAUUCAGAGUCUGCAGCAUCCUCCGGUGGAUCAGCAUUGGAAGGUGAUGAUCUUCUCUUUCGACCAGUUGGAGAUUCUUGCUUUAGGGUCUCUAUCUCUGUGAACUGCACAGCCUGUCCACCACCUCUGGUUUUGAAAACAUCACCCUUAAUUAGUUUUGUUUCAAUCUCCCCAUCAGAGGCUAGCUCCUGGUGCGUCAGCAUGUACUUGUCACACUUAGCUAGUGCCUUUUCACUUGCAGCUGCUACUGUGAUGGCAUGAGGGACAUGUGGCUGCAUGACUGUGUCAGUGGGCAGAUUAGAAGGUGGCUUAUGAUCUACCCAUCUCUCCCCAGCUGAGCGCGACCGUCUGUGCCUGAGACGAACUGGAGGUGCAUUAGGUACUGGUGUUGGAGAGACUGAUCUCGGAAUAGGCUUCUCUCUGUCUCUCUCCCGUGAAGGCCUCUCUGGCUUUUCAUUCUUUGGUUCAGUAACAAUGGCCUUCAGCUGCUUCAGUUUUUCAUCUUUGACCCAAAGUUUGUUCUGCAUUUCCAGCUGCUUUGCUGCUACACGCCGCUCACACUCCUUCUCCCAUUUCAUGGUUGUUUCAGCAACCAUGCCUUGCAGCCGUGCCUCCAACCUACGCUUGUCAGAAGCCUGACGUUGCAGUUUCUGGCUCUUGCUCUCUAGUUCUUGCUGAAGAUGACGCUUAUCUUCUUCAUAAAUUGUAGCAGUUUUCUCUAAAAUCUCAAUCUUGUAUUCCAAAGUUUUAAUUUUCUUCUCCAGGCGUUCUAACUCCGUUUUCUGUCCUGUUAUUACUUUCUCUUUCUCAGACAAUUUCCCUUGAAAAUGGUUUUCUUUGGACAUAACGCUGGAAUCAAGCUCUCGCAGUAUAGUUUUAAAUGUAAGCACAUUUUUGGCAAACUCCUCUGACAACUUCUGUCGUAGUUUGUGGCGUUCUUCCAGGACUCCAGUAAGCUUUGGAAGAGUUUGAUCAUCAUUAAUAUCCAAUAGCUCACACGAAGGCAGGGGAGGAAAGUUCUGCAGAAGUAUUUCUGAAGCAGAUUGCUCUUCUGUUUCUCCACUAAUUGGGCCGCCUCGAAUCUCCAGUUUCUGUGCCAGCUCCUCUCUGAAGGCCUGGUUCCUGAAGCGCCGUCCCGGUGUUAAACCACACAGGGGUCUAUCGACAGGCCUUGCAACCUCCACCUCCUGUGUC
rnacentral:lncRNA from 1 species